rnacentral:misc_RNA from 1 species
GAUGAAGAACGCAGUGAAAUGCGAUAAGUAAUGUGAAUUGCAGAAUUCAGUGAAUCAUCGAAUCUUUGAACGCACAUUGCGCCCGCCAGUAUUCUGGCGGGCAUGCCUGUCCGAGCGUCAUUUCAACCCUCAAGCCCCCGGGCUUGGUGUUGGAGAUCGGCGAGCCCCCCGGGGCGCGCCGUCUCCCAAAUAUAGUGGCGGUCCCGCUGUAGCUUCCUCUGCGUAGUAGCACACCUCGCACUGGGAAACAGCGUGGCCACGCCGUAAAACCCCCCACUUCUGAAAGGUUGACCUCGGAUCAGGUAGGAAUACCCGCUGAACUUAAGCAUAUCAUAAGCGGAGGA